GCGCUGAAGCGGGGGUACCCGUGCCAUCCGGCACGCGGUUGAGACACACCCUUCGAACCUGAUCCGGUUGAUACCGGCGUAGGGAAGCUUCGCGACAUGCGAU
rnacentral:ncRNA from 1 species